rnacentral:rRNA from 1 species
AUUGAACGCUGGCGGCAGGCUUAACACAUGCAAGUCGAGCGGAGAGAAGUAGCUUGCUACUGAUCUUAGCGGCGGACGGGUGAGUAAUGCUUAGGAAUCUGCCUAUUAGUGGGGGACAACAUUUCGAAAGGAAUGCUAAUACCGCAUACGUCCUACGGGAGAAAGCAGGGGAUCUUCGGACCUUGCGCUAAUAGAUGAGCCUAAGUCGGAUUAGCUAGUUGGUGGGGGAAAGGCCUACCAAGGCGACGAUCUGUAGCGGGUCUGAGAGGAUGGUCCGCCACACUGGGACUGAGACACGGCCCAGACUCCUACGGGAGGCAGCAGUGGGGAAUAUUGGACAAUGGGCGGAAGCCUGAUCCAGCCAUGCCGCGUGUGUGAAGAAGGCCUUAUGGUUGUAAAGCACUUUAAGCGAGGAGGAGGCUACUUUAGUUAAUACCUAGAGAUAGUGGACGUUACUCGCAGAAUAAGCACCGGCUAACUCUGUGCCAGCAGCCGCCGUAAGAC